AGGUGUGGAUCUUCCUGUGGGGCCAUCCGCGAAGUGGCAAGAUUUGGCUCUUCAAAGACAGCGAAAGCAGCGCGCUCCUGGGCGGCCCGCGGGUGUCCUCCCGGGAGUCCUAUCCUGAGCCCUGGCUGGUCCCUUAGCACGUCCCCCACGCAGCAGCCGCCCGCCACUCUUGCGCGCUGAUUUGAGGACUGAUGGACCCGAGGGUCAGGCCGUUCACUCCCUAUUCCUCCGCAUGUUGAUUGGCGGCUGGGUCUUUCCUUACUCUAAAACCGUCCUUAGCUCUAUUUGGGGAUAGAUUUGUCCUUUGUUUCUUCGGCUGGUUCCUUUAUUAACUCGGCACACACCUUGGAGCAUCUGUGAGCUGGCUGCAGGCUGCGUCCCCGACGCGGGGUCGCGCGGUGAGCAGGGUGAGCAGGGACGACCGUGCCGAGUUUGGCUCUCCUGCGUGUCCACGUUCAGAUGCCCUCAGAGCCGGCCAGCAGCGUGGACCUGGGCUCUGGAGGUGAGGGGGCUCUCCCCAGCUGGCAGUCUCUGGAACAGCCAGGAAACGUGCCGCCUGUCGCUCACGUCUCCCUGGAGCCUGGGGAUUUCACUCCUGCCUCUGCCAAGGUCCACUCAUCUGGCCUCCGUGUGGAGUUUGCGAGUCAAGGUGGAGCAGAAGUCUUCUGUUUUUUCUUCCUUCCACGGAAAUGUGGACAGCAGAGGGCUUCAUCAGUCACUCACAUUCGAGAGAGAUGGACAACGUCUAUGUGCAUGGACCACGAUGCAGGAUCAGCCCCUGGGGUUAUAGUCAGAUAUAGCUUGAGUGGGCAGAAGAGUGGAUUGGUCGACAACCUGGAGUUUGGGGUCCGGCUUCUGAGCACAAUUCUUAGCUCAUCAAUAUUCUAACUGUAAAAGAAGUUUACUUUAAAAAUUAAAAAAGACAUGAGCCAGGGUGGUGGUGCCUGCCAGCCAUCCCGGCUCCUCAUCUCCGUCCGCACCUCUGGAAGCAGCAGAAGUCUAAUCCACAGCGGGAUCAGACUUAUUGUUCCACAGCAAGGACACACACAAUCAGGAUUCCAGCGGGGCAGGACCUAAAACAGGAGAAAGUGCUUGCAAGGAGGUUCAUGCAGAGUCUUGGAUCCAACCCCUUUCGAAACCAGGAGUGGAGAAGGGGCAGCUUCCUCCUCCUCUGGGUCCCCUGGUCUCCACGCUGCCUUCUGAAAGCCUCACGGGUGGGGCUGCCCACACCAGGGAAGAACAGGGAUGGGGGCAGCUGGAGUGACCGAAGCCCCUUCCCCUUGCUGUCUCUGGAGGUUCGCCUGCCCCUGCCCCUCCCGGCUGCCCAGGACCCCAUGCUUGUUACAACAGAAUGGGCCCAGACGGGGGAAGGCUUUCCAGCUCUCCUGGAGCCAUGGGAGGAGACUGGCCCCGGGAUCCUGGCUUUGUGUGGGUUUUAGACCCCACAGACCUGACGCGCAUGGGUCCCCGCUCCCCCACCAGUCAGCCACAGGGCUUCUCCCAGCACCACGUUCCCUGUCUGCAAAACGGACGGAGCACUCCCAGGUGUCAUGGCCCAGAAAGGGCUGUUGGUGUGGCAUCAGGAGACCACUCAGACCCUGAGAGGGGCAGGAAGAGAAGGGCUGACCUUGGCACGCGCAAGCCGGCUGGCUCUCGGGGCUGGACCGAUGUUCUGGGCCCAGCAGCAGUAAGGUCAUGCCAGGCCACCGCCUGAGAGACCACCUGUGACCCCAACAGGGUGCCACAAGGCCACUCAACACUAUGAGAGUGGAUCAGCAAACACCAGCCCUGCAGGACUGAACCCUCCGCCCUCCCCGCUGACGGAGUGAGCCUUAAUAACCCUGUGGGCGGUUUAUUGAAGUUCCCAGUCACUGAGUGACCUGUUCCUGACAGCACCCGGCUGGGGAAGGCCUGUUUCCUCAAGCCUUCCCCCAAAUCACCCUCGCGGUCCCAAUCCUGCACCAGUUCUUUCCAACAGAGAGACCCCACGGCUCAGGACGGAGGGCCACUCCGGCUCUCUGACAGUCGACCCCGCUGCAGAACCGCAGGGGUGUCCCGUGGCCUUGCUACACAGACAAGCAGGUCCUCUCCCGUGUCCAUACUUCUCCACCCACACGUGUCCACUUCCUCUGUUCUGCUGCCAGCUGCCUCGGAGUAGAGAGAAAUACAGCAGGAAGUCUGAGGAGGUGGAAGGGCGAGGGAAUGAACUACAGAUAAAUUAACCAGUGAUCAACAAAUAAAUAACAAGAGGCACUGAACUGUGAGCUGCCCAGAGCCCUGGCCCUGACUCUCCUGCUUGGGGAGAUGGGCCUUCCCACAGAGGGGCAGGACCUCCCCACUGGACAGGCCAACUGCCCCUCCCAGUCCUCCCCCCAGGGUCUCAUCUCCUCCGAGCCUGCAGGACCACUCAAGUAAGCCCUCCAAGCACCGCAGGACCUGGCUCCCAGGCUGCCCCCAGAGUCCCUGCGUGAGCAGCCCCCGCUCUCUGCAGGUGGUAGCAAGAAUCCUCUCCCCCAGGAGGCGAUGUUUGGUCUGGGACCUGAAUCCUGGGAGAGGACCAAAGCAGCGCCAACACGUGUCCAUGCAGCAGCCUACGUGGUGUGCGGCGCAGAGCAGGCGCAGGGGAAUGCCGGAGUUCACAGGAGGAGAGGAGGCCCUUGACAAAGUGUUUUCCUGGGAUUCUUUCCAGGGCCAUGUAUAUUUUGACAUUUUAGAAAUGCCAAAAUGUCAAAUUGCCAAAGGGCAAUUCUACUGUUAAAAGAACUUCAGUUGAUAUUGUGUUCUCUUUUGACGCAUCUUUAGUCAGGUUUUUAUUGCUGUGACCCAAAGACAGUCAAGGACAGGGUAGAGGAGGAAAGAUUUGUCCAACUCAUGGUUCAGAGGUUCAGUCCGUGGAUGGCUGACUCCACAGCUCUGGGCCCCAGGCGAAGCAGAGCAUCAUGGUGGACGGGCGCGGCUGAGGAAAGCAGCUCAGGACAGGUCAACCAGGAGGCAGAGAGCCCCACUCACCAGGGACAACAUAUGACACUGGCACAGCCCAGUGUCCCGCAUGCCGACGAUCACUACCCAGUUAAUGCCUAUCAGCGAUUAAUGUGCUGAUCAGAUAAAGCUCUCAUAACCUCAUCGCCUCACCUUUAAACUUUCUUGCAUGUCUCACACAUGAGCUUUUGGGGGACACCUCAUAGCUAAGCUAUAACAUAUGCUUUAUAAACACACACCUACACAUACACAUGAGUGCACUGAACAACUGACAUUGUGCUAAGUACCAUUUUAUAACUAGCGUUCCAUUUGAUAAUAUGUCCCAACUAUACUCCCCCCCUCACUGAAUAUCCUCCUCCCCCCAAUUUUCCAUUGUUUGACCACAUUGUAUGGAUUAAGGACAGUCAUAUGGAUGUGCCACAGGUUCAUUGAUUGAUAGUCUCUCAGGUGUACAUCCAGAUGGUCUCUCUUUAUAAUUUCAUGUGUAUUUUCUGAAUAUUUCUUAGAUAAGUAGUUCCCAAAAUACAGUUUAAAGGCCCCUAGGGGAAUCAAGGCCCUUUCAGGAGGCCCACAAUUUAAAAUGAUUUUCAUAAAAAUAUGAAGAUUUUAAAAA